rnacentral:rRNA from 1 species
UACGUAGGUGGCAAGCGUUGUCCGGAUUUACUGGGCGUAAAGAGCGCGCAGGCGGUCGGAUAAGUCGAAUGUGAAAGCCCCCGGCUCAACUGGGGAGGGUCAUUCGAUACUGUUCGACUCGAAGGCAGGAGAGGGAAGUGGAAUUCCCGGUGUAGUGGUGAAAUUCGUAGAUAUUCGGAAGAACACCAGUGGCGAAGGCGACUUACUGGACACAUAGUGACGCUGAGGUGCGAAAGCGUGGGGAGCAAACAGG